GUAAAAGAUUUAUGGGAUGAAUUUCCUCUGAGAGCUAGAACCACAAUUGCAAAGGGAAAUCAAGGGGAAUGAAGCCCGGAAAGACUUCGCACAACCUAGGCAGGGGGUCUUUACAUCACGCAGUGACAAAACGCACCCUCAGCAUGCUGCAGAAGCUUGUGGAAUCCCUAAUUUGAGAUAAGGUCUGAGCUGGGAUCAGAGACCCCAAGCAGAG
rnacentral:lncRNA from 1 species